UGCGUAGGUUGUAUUGCAUGUCAGAUGUGAAAUUUCAUCGCUCAACGAUGAAAGUGCAUUUGAAACUGCAAAACUGGAGUACGGGGGAGGAGAGUGGAAUUCUUGGUGUAGCGGUGAAAUGCGUAGAUAUCAAGAAGAACACCGGUGGCGAAGGCGACUCUCUAUCCCGAUACUGACGCUGAGGCACGAAAGCUGGGGGAGCAAACA
rnacentral:rRNA from 1 species